AGCUGAGGCGAGGUGAAGGCUUCUGACCCAGUCUGAGGAGAGUGCUGUAAUUCUGUGCUGGGCGGGACUGCCUGCAAUCUUGCUGCCGAUCUAAAGCCCAUCCAGGCAGAGCCCUGUAGCCCUGAGCCUGCUGCAGCCAACUCCGCUCAACGACAGCUGAAUGAGUGUGCUGGUCAGUGCUGGGACAGGUGGCUAAGGUGGGGACUCCAUCUCCUGAUGCCUCAUUUUGGGAGCCUGCAAAUACCAGGCUCUCUCUGGACCCUCUCCAGCACCCCCACGACCCUCCUGUGCAGAGGCCUGGACACAGAUGGGGCCUCAUGGGAGUAGAGUAGAGGCAGCCAAUGCCCUCCCUCUCCCUGCUGGCCACCCCUCUCCUGAUGCAGCACAGGAUACUGUCGGCCUUCCAGGCUGCAAGAGCACACUGCUGGCUCGUGAUUUUCAUCCACCAGGACCCUGACAUGUGGAAUCAAGCUCUAUAACCCGGAUAGGUUAUAAAGCAGAAAGAUCUGCUCCAUGAUCUUCCCAGACACAGGACUUGUUCUGUGGAUGUGCUUUACAGAGCCUGGGUGCAGCUCUGGGCCAGCCAGCCAGCAUGGAGACCCUAGGCUGCUCCCUUCUCCAAGAGAGUACGUCCAUGCUUGUCCUGCACUAGUCUACACAGACCUUUAUAUUUUGUGGGUGUGUGAUUUGAGAAAGAGACAUUUUAAACUACAUCUGAAAUCAGAAGCGCAUCUCCAGCCAACAGAGCAUCAGUGUGCACAGCCCCAGGCUCCCUGUGCUGCAGGCGGCCUUAUUGAUAAACUCUGCUUUCUGACCUUCUCUGUACAUCUUCUAGAAUCUUCGUGUAAAAGAAAAUAUAAAUUAAAAAAUAGGCAAACAAUAAAAACAAGCCAAACAAAAGAGAGCAGCAUUUUCUUUUCCUGUCGUGGACCACUCCCCUCCUGAGAACUUCUGCUCUUGAAUUGCACUGCUCUGUUGAAUUGCACUGCUCUGCGAGGACCAUGCAAGACAGCACCUCUCCACACUGGCUGUGCAUUGAGCUUGUCCUGCCAGCAUCUGGAAAGUCAGAGAGAGACUAUGAGUACUGUGUGUGGCUUAGGACUCACAGGGUAGCUCCUCCUAGCAAGCGGUUGCUCCAGCCCUUGAAGGCUCCACACUCACAUGCUGAUGGAGGAAGAUGGCAGCUUUUACAAAUGUGGCACGCAGACAAGCUUCUACAUUACUUGACACACACAGCCUUCCCUGGAUUGGAGCGUCCCAUGUCUUUUCAGCUCCCCUGCAGGCUUCAGGAAAAAUAAAUUCUUGGCUUCCUCUGCAUGUGAAUAAAGGUAGAGAUUUCCAAACUCAAUCUUCCCAGACAUUUGAAAGAUGACAUAAUUUGACAUGAGUCAGCAUGAUUGGCAGGUCAAAGCAUACUGCUGGCUCUCACAGCUCAGGAGAGCCUGGCAAAUUGGCAGAGCUCUGACGCUCAUCAUGCCACAGCCUAUGAGUUGCGUCUCUUUGUAUUCUCUCUCUAUCUACAUUCAGAAAAAAUAUUUCACAGUUCGUAUUAUCUGGACCACAUCAGGGCUCAGAAAGGGAGCGAGAAAAUAGGAAUGGGAGGG